CUACGGGGGGCACCAGUGGGGAAUAUUGCACAAUGGGGGGAACCCUGAUGCAGCAACGCCGCGUGGAGGAUGACGCAUUUCGGUGUGUAAACUCCUUUUAUAUGUCAAGAAAAUGACGGUAGCAUAUGAAUAAGCACCGGCUAACUCCGUGCCAGCAGCCGCGGUAAUAGCGGAGGGUGCAAGCGUUACUCGGAAUCACUGGGCGUAAAGGACGCGUAGGCGGGUUGGAAAGUCAGGUGUGAAAUCCUACAGCUUAACUGUAGAACUGCACUUGAAACUUCUAAUCUAGAGUAUGGGAGGGGGAGAUGGAAUUAGUGGUGUAGGGGUAAAAUCCGUAGAUAUCACUAGGAAUACCUAAAGCGAAGGCGAUCUCCUGGAACAUUACUGACGCUAAGGCGUGAAAGCGUGGGGAGCAAACAGGAUUAGAUACCCCUGUAGUC
rnacentral:rRNA from 1 species